rnacentral:lncRNA from 1 species
UUUUUGUGGAACCCAAUGUCUUUUACUUUAGAAAAUAUAUCAUGACAAGAAGCAGACUGCUAAAUCUCUAGGACCUUUACUGAUGUGGCAAGCCUUUGAACUUUCAAUGACAUUUACAGUGAAUGACUAGAGUGAUGUUCUAUGGAGUAUCAAGAUAAGGUCUUUACAGGCUACCUUAAGACAGCAAGCAGUAACACUGACAUAGGCUGAGGUAAGCGAGUGAAGGUAUACUGUUGUCAAAUUGCUACUGAUCAUUGUUGAUGACAAGGAUAGAGAGAAAAAAAAAUUGAUAGACUAAUAUCUGCAUUGUUUUGUUCCACAAGGUGACCACAUACAGAAUUGGAGAUGAAUGGCAUGACUGAUUAUGGGUGUGAUAAUUGACAGCCAUGCUGCAAGACCACCUGGAUUUUGCAAGAGGGUGACUGUAAGACCGAGGGCCUUACCAAACGCUCCGAGGAGCUGACUGCAGCGAAGAACACCCAGGAAGGAACACACCGGACAAGUUGGAAAGCUAGUGAUGUGUCAUACAAUACUCUCUUUUGAUAUGGAGGCAGCUACAGUGAACCACAGUUCCCAGUUGGCCACACCAUCAUGAUCAUGUGGGUCAACAACUGACACUCUGCAACAUACUGUGUUGCCAACUCUUUUUGGAUACAGCUCCUGUCUUCAUUCUUUGCUUCCUGGCUGCCAUGAUGUGAGCAGUGUUCCUUUACCCAGACCCUUCCACCAUGCUGUUCCUGCCUUGGAGCCAGCCUACCAGGGAUUUUAACUGGGCUCACAGCUAAGAAUUUGCCUGGAGACUCAGAGGAGACUUCAGACUUGGAUUUUUCAGAAAUACUGGAACUGUUAAGACUUUGGAGAGACUUAGUGAUGG